rnacentral:rRNA from 1 species
AACGAACGCUGGCGGCAUGCUUUACACAUGCAAGUCGAACGGCAGCACGGGGCAACCUGGUGGCGAGUGGCGUACGGGUGAGUAAUACAUCGGAACGUGCCCAUUCGUGGGGGAUAACGUAGCGAAAGCUACGCUAAUACCGCAUACGAUCUACGGAGGAAAGCGGGGGAUCGCAAGACCUGGCGCGAUUGGAGCGGCCGAUGGCAGAUUAGGUAGUUGGUGGGGUAAAGGCUCACCAAGCGGACGAUCUGUAGCUGGUCUGCGAGGACGACCAGCCAUGCUGGGCCAGGAGCACGACCCAGACUCCAACGUGUGGCAGCAGUGGGGAAUUUUGGACUAUGGGCGAGGACCUGAUCCAGCAAUUCCGCGUGCGGGAUGAAGGCCCUCGGGUUGUAAACUCCUUUUGUACGGAACGAAAAGGCUCUGGUUAAUACCUGGGGCUCAUGACAGUACCGUAAGAAUAAGCACCGGCUAACUACGUGCCAGCCGCCGCCGUAA